AUUGAACGCUGGCGGCAGGCUUAACACAUGCAAGUCGAGCGAGCGGCGGACGGGUGAGUAAUGUCUGGGAACCUGCCUGCUGGUGGGGGAUAACUACUGGAAACGGUAGCUAAUACUGCAUACCAGCAGAUGUGCCCAGAUGGGAUUAGCUAGUAGGUGGGGUAAUGGCUCACCUAGGCGACGAUCCCUAGCUGGUCUGAGAGGAUGACCAGCCACACUGGAACGGAGCCACGGUCCAGACUCCUACGGGAGGCAGCAGUGGGGAAUAUUGCACAAUGGGCGCAAUCCUGAUGUGGCCAAGCCGCGUAUGUGAAGAAGGCCUUCGGGUUGUAGAGCACUUUCAGCGAGGAGGCGGUACUCGAAGAAGAAGCACCGGCUAACUCCGUGCCAGCAGCCGCGGUAAUAC
rnacentral:rRNA from 1 species